UCGCCUGUUUAUCAAAAACAUAACUGCAAGGUGUUAGUUGCAGCAUUUUCUGCUCAAUGAGUUUUAAAUAGCCGCAGUACUUUGACUGUGCGAAGGUAGCAUAAUCAAUUGUCUUAUAAUUGAAGACUGGAAUGAAUGAAUGUUUGGGUAGUCACUGUUUCAUUUUAAAAUUUGGAAUUUAACUCUAAAGUGCAAAUGCUUUAGUAUAAAAUUAAGACGAGAAGACCCUGGAAAUUUAUGAUAAAAUUUUGUUGGGGCGACAGGGUAACAAUAAGAACUUACCUAAGUAGGUGAAAAAUAUUUUAACUUAACUAAAUUACUCCAGGGAUAACAGCAUAAUUUCUUUUGAAGUUUGUGACCUCGAUGUUGGAUUAGGAAAAAUUAUUGUUUAGAAA
rnacentral:rRNA from 1 species